GUGGCCUAGUGGUUAGAGCAUCCGCGUCGGAUGCGGGAGGUCGCGGGUUCGAACCCCAGCCAAGUCA